UUGAAAAAAAAAAAUCCUGAGUUGAGUGACAAAGAUAUAAAAGUUUUGGGCUCUAAGUUAAUCUUUUACCAACACUUAUUCAGCUGGGCCUAGGUUUAGCUCCCUUGGGAGUUUACUGAUUCAUGUCUCUGCAAUUGCCUGAGAACAAUGAGAGGAUCCAUCCCAUCCUAGUAUCCAACCCCAAAACCCUUAAUUUGAACAUGUUUCGAUUCGACUUUCUGCUUCAGUUUCAUCAUUAGCUAAACUUUCAACAUCCAAAUCAAAUGAGAAACAUAAGGUUCUCUUAUCAUCCUCUACCUGGAAAAGAUUUAACCCUUUUGUUAUUUAGAACCAAUUCUUUUUACCUCCAAAAAGAAAACCCAAAGCUUCCUCUAUUGGUGCUGCUAAUUUUGAAGAGAGUGUGUUUUUGUCUUGAUUUUAUCGGUUAUGCAUAUACCUAGAUGGCGAAACGUGUUUCUUCUGAAGAGUUCAUUGGUUCCACCUUUCUUAUAUUCAAAAGCAACGGCUACUGUUGCAACAACCCACGUUGCUUCGUUUCAUUCUUCGCCUAUUACCUGUGAAAAAUGGAAGAGCAAAUGGGAUUUUGAGGAAAGACGAACACAACAACCAACUAAGAAUCACAUAAGGUAUACAGUACAUCAAAAGCGUGCUGCACAAAGAGUGCUCUAAAAAGCCUGCUCUAUAAUAGUGGUUGCUCAAAUGUUUCAUUCCAGGAUGAAGUUCAAACAUGGAAAUUUGAUGGGGCGGAAGGCUGGGAUUCAGAUGGUUCUGAUAAGAAGUGGUGGUCAAGGUAUUCUGGACGACAUGCUGGGAAAUCUAACUGCAAAAAAGUUAAACGAAAGUUUAAAAGAGAGAGUUUCUUUGACGACUUUGAUCAUCCUGAGAGAAUCUUUCAAGCUAAAUUUGGGAACAAAUGGUAUACUUGGUCUUCUGGUGGAGAUAAGUCUUUCAAGAAUCCAGAAUCUGGAUUUGAGUGGAGAGAAAAAUCAGGCUGGACAAAUCAAAGAACGAAGGAGUGAGAAAAUACUAGUGACUCUGAGUCUGAGUCUGAGGAGGAGAAGUCAUAUGAUGUAGGUUCAUGUUCUGAUAGAGAAAUCCUUGGUUUGCCUCGAGCAGGCCCCAUAAAGAUUGAAGAUGUUCAGAAUGCUAAGUACUCAACUUAAUAUUUGAGAGGCCUGUCAUCUUGAAGAUUGGACGUUACAUAUUUGAGUUUUCCCUUGCUCCAAUUCUUUUUUACGCAUGUAUUCUAAAGUUCAUUAAAAUUGCCAUUCAGCUUUUGUGUAUCAGCUAUGAAGUGGCAUCCUGAUAAGCAUCAAGGUCCUUCACAGGAGAUUGCUGAAGAGAAAUUUAAGAUGUGUGUAGAGGCGUACAAAUCAUUAUGCCAUGCUCUAUCCUAAGCCUUAGGAGGUUACAUAGCUCCAACCAAGUAAGUGGUCUCGGAGAAUAAUAGCUAAGAGGUAUAAUUGAAUCUGUUCUAUUUUAUUCUGAUAAUCAUAAUCAUAGUCAAAUUGUCAGAAAAUUUGUUUGGCCCUACAAUUGACAAUGGUCCAUUAUUUUGGGGCUAAAACUCCAAAAAAAGUAAUUACAUUCUGAUUUAGUAA